GGGUGUUUAUUGAGAACUGUGGAACAGAGAGGUGUGAGAUGGACCAAACAGGACUGGGCUUGACCAGGGAGCUGUCAGCUAUGUGUGUGUGUGUGAGAAAACAAGUUAUAAAUGGGCCUCGUACAAAGAGCUUAUUAUAAACGCUGAACAAACAGAAUCCUCUGUGUGCUGAGGACCUUGACCUCUGCUGGCUUGGAACAUGGAUCUCUGUGGCUCCUCUGUGUGUUGAGGACGAUGACCUCUGCUGGCUUGGAACAUGGAUCUCUGUGGCUCCUCUGUGUGCUGAGGACCGUGACCUCUGCUGGCUUGGAACAUGGAUCUCUGUGACAGCCAAGUUCCAGGAUUCUGUCCAAUGGCGGCCGGCUGGUGGCCGGUGUGUGUGGGGAUCUCCCGAGAGAGGAAUGCUGAUGCUGCUGUGCCUUCUACAUUCUGAUUCCAGAACUCUGCCGUGUGGUGUACCUCCCCCUGGGGGACAAUCAAUCAACUUUGUAUGGUUUCAUUUUCUGUGGGUGAGAGCGAGCUGAUCUCAUAAAUCACAUCCAGAUCCUC